rnacentral:rRNA from 1 species
AUGUUGCGUGAGAGGUGUGGUCUAGUUGAUAGUGUGUAUGUGGCUGUGGAAGAAAAGGUUGCCAUGUUCUUGUUAGUAGUGGGUCAUGGUCUGAAAAUGAGGUUGCUUCGAGGCACAUACAAGCGGUCUUUGGGAACUAUAAGUACUCACUUUUCCGAAGUGUUAAGAGCCAUUCUAUCUAUGCAUGGGGAGUUCAUUAAGCUUCCAGAUGCUAAUGUUCAACCUCCCGAUGAUUACAAAUGGAAGUGGUUUGGUGGUGCACUAGGAGCAUUAGAUGUCUGUCAUGUAGAUGUUUCUGUUCCCGCUUAUGGAGUUACCCAUGGAGUUUAG